UGCCAGCCGCCGCGGUAAUACAGAGGGUGCGAGCGUUAAUCGGAAUUACUGGGCGUAAAGCGCGCGUAGGUGGUUUAUUAAGUCGGAUGUGAAAUCCCCGGGCUCAACCUGGGAACUGCAUUCGAUACUGGUAGACUUGAGUAUGGUAGAGGGAAGUGGAAUUUCCGGUGUAGCGGUGAAAUGCGUAGAUAUCGGAAGGAACACCAGUGGCGAAGGCGGCUUCCUGGACCAAUACUGACACUGAGGUGCGAAAGCGUGGGGAGCAAACAGGAUUAGAUA
rnacentral:rRNA from 1 species